rnacentral:lncRNA from 1 species
AGAGCUUCAGGAUGUUGACAGUGUGACGUUUGUUUUGGUGCAGCAGCAGCACGAGUGUGCAGUUUUAAACACAUAAACUGAAGAUGACAGCUCAGCGACAGUGUUUUAAUGUCACUAAACAACAUUUAAUGCAGUCCGACAACUAAAAUAACCGACACACGCUGAGAUAAAGGACAGAAAUGCAGUGAAAAGCCACUCAUCUAGAUUGAGGGAUGUGUUUGGACCGUACAGUCAACAGAAGUAGAGCUCCGGGACGUUUGGACUACAUUUACUGGCGUGAUGGACGUCUGCUGCGGACAGGAAAAGAACACAGAAGUGAAGACGGUGUGAUCAAGACUGAACACAGACAAAGGCAGUAUCCCCGAGUUAGAGGAGAUCAUGAUCA